GGUCUUAUAUUCAAUUAUGAUUUUAAAUUGCAAGUUUAAAAGUGUAGUAAUAUUCUACUAAGGCUU
rnacentral:tRNA from 1 species